ACUUGUCUUCUGGCCCUCAGGUGCUGAAGGCUGAACAACUGUAGUCAUGUGGGGAGUGGGGAAGGGGAGUAAGAUCGGAGAAAGAACAAAAACCCAAGAAACAGAAAAUGGGGUCUCUGGAAAAUAACUAUCAAGGCAAACAAAAGAGACACAUUGGGUUGGAGGCAUACAAGUCAGAGGUGGUGACCGAGAGAUGCAUGGCGGUAAAUCAGUAAAACGAUCUGCACAUCCAUUUUCUUAGGAUGAAGUCUACUGGAAUCACGAGCCCACCAAUUCCUUUUCUGGGAAAGGAUAACAUACCUCUAACCCUUUCGAUGUGAGAAGAAUAAAAGAAAGAAGUAUGCAAAACCCA
rnacentral:lncRNA from 1 species